AGUGAAAUAUAUAAAGUAUUAACCACAGAGAGCUGAUGUCGAGGAGAUUUUCAAAAGAAGGAAGGUAUAUCCAAAAUUGCACACUGCUCUGAAUGUCAUCUAGUCAUACAUAUCAAGAAUUUUCGAUGGGCUUCUUCAGAAGAUAGGAUACGAAGAAAAUCAUAAUGCAUGAUGACGAUAUCACAAAGAUGCUAAGGCUAGAUGCCACGAAAUGUGCAUGUACCGUCGGUCACGCGGAAUGCAAGAGAAAAUCCGCCGUUAAAUUGAGCGAACAUUCACGAAUCCUGAUACCCACAAAAGGAACAUGAAAAAGAGCAGGAAAAGGAAAGAAGACUAGCGGCGAAGCAGACAGAAAAGAACAAACAGAAGAGACAGAUUCAAGCUUUGUCUUUUAAUCUGGACGAAGACAAAGAUGAAGCUGAGAUGUCUUCUGACGAAGACAAUGCCAAAAAAUCCCCGCAGUCAGAAAAUGUGCAAUCUGAUGGCCCUGCGAUUAAGAAGAUUUAGAAAAAUCCAGAUGUAGAUACACGUUUUUUGCCAGUAGGGAAAGGGACGAGGAGGAAAAUAAACUUAGGAAAGAAUUGAAACAAGAAUGGGCUAGAAAGCAGAACGCGUUGAAGGAAGAAGAAAUUGAGAUCACAUUCAGUUAUUGGGAUGGAUCUGACCAUCGUCGGAGUGUUAUAAUGAAGAAAGGUAAUUCUAUCUAUUAGGUUCUUCAGAGAUGUUUAGAAGUUCUGAAGCCCGAAUUCAGCGAGCUUAAAAC